AUGGAUUUGAGUCUGAGCUGGAUUUUCCUUGUUGUUCUACUGAAGGGUGUCCCAUGUGAGGUGAAGCUUGUGGAGACUGGAGGUGGCCUGGUGCAGACUGGGGGAUCACUGAGACUCUCCUGUGCAGCCUCUGGUUUCACUUUUAGUAACUACUGGAUGACCUGGUUAAGACAGACUCCUGAAAAGGCCUUCGAGUGGAUUGGGGAAAUUAAACCUGAUGGCAGUACGACAAACUAUGCAACAUCCAUUAAGGAUCGAUUCACCAUCACCAGAGACAAUGCCAAGAACACUCUGUACCUGCAAAUGAACAGUGUGUGA